AGUAACGCGUGAGGAACCUGCCUCAAAGAGGGGGACAACAGUUGGAAACGACUGCUAAUACCGCAUAAGCCCACGGCUCGGCAUCGAGCAGAGGGAAAAGGAGCAAUCCGCUUUGAGAUGGCCUCGCGUCCGAUUAGCUAAUUGGUGAGGUAAUGGCCCACCAAGGCGACGAUCGGUAGCCGGACUGAGAGGUUGAACGGCCACAUUGGGACUGAGACACGGCCCAG
rnacentral:rRNA from 1 species